rnacentral:lncRNA from 1 species
CUGUGGGACAAUGGGGAGAACUCUGGGCUGCUCAGGCAGGGUGGGGGCGGUGAGGACAGAAGCAGCCAGCCAGCUUCAGCUGAGCCCCAGCCAGCCGGUCUGCUCGGAGACUCCACAGAAUUCAGAAGGCAACAAGAUCAGUAUAAGAUUCAAGAUGACCAAUCUCCGGUCUCCUCACACAUAUCUCUGUAGCCAGCAGGGUCCAUGGCUGGCUAGCGAGUCUCUAUGGUGAGAGACCAAUCAGGACUGAAGAAUGGGAUUCACACUUUGAAACACACGGACUGAAGGGAAAGAAAGACAUGUUCGUCAUUCUUUUUUUGCCCUCCACUGUAGUUAAUCCUUGUUAAAGUUCCAAUAAAGCCGCCAUCAUUCAUGAAGCCUGGUUUUAG